UAUCUCUCCGUACGGGGAAGGAUGAGAAGCUUCGACUAAGGUUCGAUUCGAGCGCAGCGAGAAAGCGUUGCCGUAGGCAACGACCCG
rnacentral:sRNA from 3 species